ensembl:lncRNA
AUGAGGCAAUAUCAGUUUGGCUUCUCCUCAGUCACACAGCUGGCCAUCACCAUACACAAUUUGGACACCCGGGACACUCUACAGAGGGAAUUUGCAGAUUUCAUCAAAGAGCAGGAGCUCCUCUCACGCCCCAUGGUUGCAGGCCUGCGAGUGACUCCGAGCUCCAUGACAAAGCGCGUCCUAGAAAAGCAGCGGGAGCUGGUCCGACAGUGUGAGAUGGCGUUGCAGGGCGAUGAACUGGAUAGGACCAAUGUUACUUCACUACUAGAAUCUCACCUGCAGGCUGACACGAAAGAUUUCCUAGAGCGCUACAGCCAUCGAUACAAAUCCCACGCCCUCAAAGCUGGGAUAGCCAUCGGGGUAGGCGCUGUGGGAUUAGCCGGAGGGGCCGUUGGAGCUGGUGUUGCAGCGGCCAUGUUGGCUGCAGAAGCCAUUGUGCUGAGCACUGGUACGGCCGCUACCUUUGCCAUUGGGACUAUGGCCGGGGCGGGCACCUUUGCACUCGUUGGAGGAGGAGUGGGGGCUGGUUUAGGGAGCAGUAUAGGGGAGCGUAGGGCUCGUGAGGCUGAGAAUGUGGCUGAACCUGACUGUGAGAAUGAAGAAGCAGAGGAUGAUCUCUCCGAUGAGAGGUGUCUUCUUCGCCAGUAGGUCACACCUUAAGAGUUGACAACAGACCAGGGCCUGUGGCCUAGUUUCCUCUGCAGGAAAGAUGGUAGGAUAACAGUCUAAUGCCAGCUUCUGUUAUCAUGGAUCCCAGAGGUGAGGAAACAGAAGAGGAGUGAUUCUCUCUGUCUCAUGAACCAUGAAGGCUUGAUCUCCCCAUAUCUAUAGUGGUUGGCUAUGGGAGAGCAACACGGGGGCAAACUCAAGCGAUACAAAUUCCCUGGUGGUGAGUGAAGGCAAAGUAAUAAGGCCAUCUGAUGCUAGGGUGAUGUGUUGACCUCUAGUGGAAUAAAAAGGGAAUAGAAUUUAUGCCCUGUCUUCCU